rnacentral:rRNA from 1 species
UACGGGAGGCAGCAGUGGGGAAUAUUGCACAAUGGGCGAAAGCCUGAUGCAGCUAUGCCGCGUGUAUGAAGAAGGCCUUAGGGUUGUAAAGUACUUUCAUCGGGGAGGAAAAAACAAAACUAAUAAUUUUAUUUCUUGACGUUACCCGAAAAAGAAGCACCGGCUAACUCCGUGCCAGCAGCCGCGGUAAUACGGAGGGUGCUAGCGUUAAUCAGAAUUACUGGGCGUAAAGAGCACGUAGGUGGUUUUUUUAAAGUCAGAUGUGAAAUCCCUGGGCUUAACCUAGGAACUGCAUUUUGAAACUAAAAUACUAGAGUAUCGUAGAGGGAGGUAGAAUUCUAGGUGUAGCGGUGAAAUGCGUAGAUAUCUGGAGGAAUACCUGUGGCGAAAGCGGCCUCCUAAACGAAUACUGACACUGAGGGUGCGAAAGCGUGGGGAGCAAACAGGGAUUAGAUACC